rnacentral:rRNA from 1 species
GAUGAACGCUGGCGGCGCGCCUAACACAUGCAAGUCGAACGGCACCCACCUUCGGGUGGAAGCGAGUGGCGAACGGCUGAGUAACACGUGGAGAACCUGCCCCCUCCCCCGGGAUAGCCGCCCGAAAGGACGGGUAAUACCGGAUACCCCGGGGUGCCGCAUGGCACCCCGGCUAAAGCCCCGACGGGAGGGGAUGGCUCCGCGGCCCAUCAGGUAGACGGCGGGGUGACGGCCCACCGUGCCGACAACGGGUAGCCGGGUUGAGAGACCGACCGGCCAGAUUGGGACUGAGACACGGCCCAGACUCCUACGGGAGGCAGCAGUGGGGAAUCUUGCGCAAUGGGGGAAACCCUGACGCAGCGACGCCGCGUGCGGGACGGAGGCCUUCGGGUCGUAAACCGCUUUCAGCAGGGAAGAGUCAAGACUGUACCUGCAGAAGAAGCCCCGGCUAACUACGUG